ensembl:lncRNA
UUUUGAAAAUCAGUCAAACGGUUCAAAAGUUACAGUGUUAACAAAAGUCCAACUUUGACCUGUUGGUGGCGCUAGUGUGGUCUAGUGGGAGACAUGAAACUUGGUGUGAGUGGAGAAUUGACUGUCCUUAAUGAGUGUGCCAAAUUUCAGAAAAAGUUACCAUACGGUUCUAGGGGCUGCCAUUGACUUCAAUGGCACAAGAAUAAUAAUAAUAAUACCUACAAUAACAAUAGGUUUCCUCCUGACGGAGGAACCCUAAAUAUAGCUGCAGGCAGCAAUGGCGGGUUCCUCCUCAACAUUCCAAUCAUUACAAAAUUGACAUGACACUGACAUGUAUUUCAUACAUGUACACAACAUUGGGCAGAUAAUUGGAUCAAUGGCUGAUUUGAAGACAUUUUUUAAAAUUAUUCACAAAUUGUCAC